GCGUUCCGUGUCUCCUUUCUUUCUCUUCUUCUUUUUUGACGUGUUUGUUUUUUUGUCACGCGCUCCUUCCGUAUCCUUUCCGCCUUCAGAAAAGAAUUAAGACCAGGCAGGGGGCUCGGAAGGAAGAGAAAAGAGAAAG
rnacentral:ribozyme from 11 species